rnacentral:tRNA from 1 species
GCCUAGCUGGCUCAGACGGUAGAGUAUGUGAUUCUUGAUCUCAGAGUUGUAAGUUCGAGUCCCAUGUUGGGUA